rnacentral:rRNA from 1 species
UGGGGGAUUUUGCACAAUGGGCGCAAGCCUGAUGCAGCGACGCCGCGUGAGGGAUGAAGGCCUUCGGGUUGUAAACCUCUUUCGCUGGGUUGAAAUGCCAUGCUUUGGGUGUGGUUGAUUUGAACUGGUAAAGAAGUACCGGCUAACUACGUGCCAGCAGCCGCGGUAAUACGUAGGGUACUAGCGUUGUCCGGAUUUAUUGGGCGUAAAGGGCUUGUAGGUGGUUUGUCGCGUCUGUCGUGAAAUCCUGUGGCUUAACCAUGGGCUUGCGGUGGGUACGGGCAGGCUUGAGUGCGGUAGGGGAGACUGGAAUUCCUGGUGUAGCGGUGGAAUGCGCAGAUAUCAGGAGGAACACCGGUGGCGAAGGCGGGUCUCUGGGCCGUUACUGACACUGAGGAGCGAAAGCGUGGGGAGCGAACAGG